GACGAACGCUGGCGGCGUGCUUAACACAUGCAAGUCGAACGGAAAGGCCCUGCUUUUGUGGGGUGCUCGAUUGGCGAACGGGUGAGUAACACGUGAGUAACCUGCCCUUGACUUUGGGAUAACUUCAGGAAACUGGGGCUAAUAUCGGAUAGGAGCUCCUGCUGCAUGGUGGGGGAUGGAAAGAUUCGGCGGUUGGGGAUGGACUCGCGGCUUAUCAGCUUGUUGGUGGGGUAGUUGCUUACCAAGGCUUUGACGGGUAGCCGGCCUGAGAGGGUGACCGGCCACAUUGGGACUGAGAUACGGCCCAGACUCCUACGGGAGGCAGAAGUGGGGAAUAUUGCACAAUGGGCGGAAGCCUGAUGCAGCAACGCCGCGUGCGGGAUGACGGCCUUCGGGUUGUAAACCGCUUUCGCCUGUGACGAAGCGUGAGUGACGGUAAUGGGUAAAGAAGCACCGGCUAACUACGUG
rnacentral:rRNA from 1 species